AGCAACGUCCACGUCACAGCACAAGUAACUCACAGGGGUGUCUCUAGGUUUGUUAAAACUCCAGUCAUUAGAUGACACGAUUCACAAACAGUCGCGUGUUAAUGCUAACCUAGCGCUCCGAGGCGACUCCCGCGAUCAAAUGAUGGUCACAUAGCGUUUAAUACCAGCACCUUCUCGGUUUGGAGGACUGUGUAAACAGUGAGAGUGUUAGCUGAGCCCUGUGGUAUCCGGGUUGUCCAGGAUGGCGUGCCCGACACAAUUCCUCUGCAAGGCGCUGCGCACUGUGGGUCUUGUGCUUUUCUACUAUGUGUUUUCCAUUGGCAUAACUUUUUACAACAAGUGGCUCAUGAAGGACUUCCACUUUCCUCUAUUUAUGACCCUGGUCCAUCUCACUAUAAUAUUCUGUUUAUCCACACUGACACGCUCCGCCAUGCAAUGCUGGACUGGGAAGCCUCGAGUUACUCUUCCCUGGAAGGUUUACUUUUCUAAAGUAGCCCCUACAGCCCUGGCGACAGCGUUGGAUAUUGGACUGUCCAACUGGAGUUUUCUAUUCAUCACUAUUAGUUUGUACACCAUGACCAAGUCUUCAGCCGUUCUUUUCAUUCUGUUUUUCUCCCUGCUCUUCAAACUGGAGGAGCCGAAUCCCUUCCUGAUCCUGGUGGUUGUCCUGAUUUCCAGUGGCCUCUUCAUGUUCACUCUCAAGUCCACUCAGUUUAAUCUGGAGGGUUUCAUCAUGGUCCUGUUGGCCUCUUUUAUCGGAGGAAUCCGCUGGACUCUCACUCAAUUGCUCAUGCAGAAAGCGGAGCUUGGCCUUCAGAACCCCAUAGACACCAUGUACCAUCUGCAGCCCCUCAUGUUCCUGGGCCUAUUUCCCCUGUUUCUUCUUAAUGAGGGACUGAGUGUGAGCACCACAGAGAAGCUGUUCAGGGUCAGUGAGCUCUCUCACCUGCUCUACUCUCUAGUCACUCUGUCUGUGGGUGGCAUGCUGGCAUUCGGGCUCGGCUUCUCUGAGUUCCUGCUGGUGUCACGCACAUCCAGUCUUACACUGUCCAUUGCAGGCAUUUUUAAGGAAGUGUGCACUCUGCUGCUGGCAGUGGAGUUCUUGGGGGAUAAAAUGAGCACAGUCAACUGGCUGGGUUUUGCUGUGUGCCUGUCUGGGAUAUCACUUCAUAUUGGCCUAAAAACAUACCGUAACAAAGUAGGAAAUGGCCCCAUGGUAAGAUACCUACCAGUCAGGGAGAACCCGGACCUUGAGUUUCCUCUUCUGCAGACAAAAGAUGACCACUGUGAAGACACAAAUGAUGAAGAGGAGCAUGAGAUUCUCUAUUAAUUACUCUGAGGAAGACAUGAGUAUCCUGAAUGGGCUCAUGGAAUAUGCUUCUUUAAAGACUCAUAUCAGUGCUCCCAUUGAACACAGGUACUGAACAAGCUCCAGAAAUUAUAUGAAUGAACUCAAAAAGAAAUUGAACAGCCAAUGUAUUUUGCAGCUUGUCUCUGUGUGACAAUGAGAGAACAGAGAAGUGCUCUUGGGAAGACAGAACUCUAAAAGGAAGCGAGUUCAUUCUAACAUCCUCAUCCAUAUCCAGGAAUUCAUCCAUAGAAUGAAAGUGGAUGGGCAAACGGCUUGCGAAGACACUUCCUCCAGCUCCUCCAGGGGGAUCCCGAGGCGUUCCCAGGCCAGCUGAGAAACAUAGUCCCUCCAGCGUGUCCUGGGUCUUCCCAGAGGCCUCCUCCUCCCAGUGGGACAUUCCUGGCACACCUCCAUAGGUCCAGGCAAUCUGAAGCAGCUGCCCGAGCCACUUCAGCUGACUUCUCUUGGAAGUGGAGGAGCAGCGGCUCUACUCUGUGCUCCUCUCUUGUGACAGAGCUUCUCAUCCUAUCUAUAAGGGUGCGCCCUGCUACCAUGCGAGGGGAAACUCAUUUCAGCUGCUUGUAUCCAAGAUCUCAUCCUUUCGGUCAUUACCCAAAGCUCAUGACCGUAGGUGAGAGUAGGAACGCAAACGUUUUUCUUUACCACAACAGGCCGGUACAUCAACGGCUUUACUGCUGCCACUCCACCAAUCCCACCUGUCAAUCUCACAUUCCAUCCUUCCCUCACUCAUGAACUAAACCCCAAGAUACUUGAACUCCUCGACCUGGGGUAAGGACUUUCCUCCAACCUGGAGAUGGCAAACCACCUUUUCCCGGUGGAGCACCUUGGACUUGGAGGUGCUGAUUCACAUCCAAUGUAAUGUAAAAGGUUUGCUGUGUCAAACUACCCACUUUAAAUGACUAAAACAGUUUGAACAUUUACCUCAGGGUUUGUGAUGAAGAUAAUUUACAAUCUUAUGAAACAUAAGUUUUAAAUGUUGGUAUGCCCUCAAAGCCCAUUUUGUAAUGGAUAUAACAGAAAUUAUAUUGACUUUAAUGACAACAGUAAUGGUCCUUUUCUUCACUGGUAGUUUGUUGCCAUCUAUUGGUGAGAUGUUAAAUUCUUCAGGAAUAUGUUCCAAGUAGACAUGCUGAUGUUCAAUAACACAAUAUAUCAUCAUAAUGGAUAUGCAAAAUAUUGAUAUUUUACACUCUAUGCAAAAUGCUGUGGAUAUUUAUUGUUUACACUGAGUGCAUUUAAGACUAUUCAGCUUGUAUUGGCAGUAGUUGUUCAUCACAUUACCAAAUGCUUAAUAGGCUGUUUAUUUUCAGUUAUAAACAUUUUCACAUGAUAAUCUAAA